rnacentral:rRNA from 1 species
CAGUAAGUCAGUGGUGAAAGCCUGCAGCUUAACUGCAGAAUUGCCAUUGAAACUGCUGUUCUUGAGUACAGUUGAAGUGGAUGGAAUGUGUUAUGUAGCGGUGAAAUGCAUAGAUAUGACACAGAACACCGAUAGCGAAGGCAGUUCACUAAACUGUAACUGACGCUGAGGCACGAAAGCGUGGGUAGCAAACAGGAUUAGAUACCCUGGUAGUCCACGCCGUAAACGAUGAUUACUCGAUGUGUGCGAUAAACAGUACGCGUCCAAGCGAAAGUGUUUAGUAAUCCACCUGGGAAGUACGUCCGCAAGGAUGAAACUCAAAGGAAUUGACGGGGGCCCGCACAAGCGGAGGAGCAUGUGGUUUAAUUCGAUGAUACGCGAGGAACCUUACCUGGGCUUAAAUGCAGAACGACGUACUGGGAAACCAGUAUUUCUUCGGACGGACUGCAAGGUGCUGCAUGGUUGUCGUCAGCUCGUGCCGUGAGGUGUCGGGUUAAGUCCCAUAACGAGCGCAACCCUUAUCUUUAGUUGCCAGCAUGUCAUGAUGGGGACUCUAAAGAAACUGCCUACGCAAGUAGUGAGGAAGGUGGGGAUGACGUCAAAUCAGCACGGCCCUUAUGUCCAGGGCUACACACGUGCUACAAUGGCUGGUACAGAGGGCAGCUACCUGGUAAUUGGAUGCUAAUCUCUAAAACCAGUCUCAGUUCGGAUCGGAGUCUGCA